rnacentral:rRNA from 1 species
UGGGGAAUAUUGGACAAUGGGCGAAAGCCUGAUCCAGCCAUGCCGCGUGAGUGAUGAAGGCCCUAGGGUUGUAAAGCUCUUUUGUGCGGGAAGAUAAUGACGGUACCGCAAGAAUAAGCCCCGGCUAACUUCGUGCCAGCAGCCGCGGUAAUACGAAGGGGGCUAGCGUUGCUCGGAAUCACUGGGCGUCAAGGGUGCGUAGGCGGGUUUCUAAGUCAGAGGUGAAAGCCUGGAGCUCAACUCCAGAACUGCCUUUGAUACUGGAAGUCUUGGGUUCGGGAGAGGUGAGUGGAACUGCGAGUGUAGAGGUGAAAUUCGUAGAUAUUCGCAAGAACACCAGUGGCGAAGGCGGCUCACUGGCCCGAUACUGACGCUGAGGCACGAAAGCGUGGGGAGCAAACA